ensembl:rRNA 5S_rRNA 5S ribosomal RNA
UAUUAUUGUUAUACCUUACCAUGGACACGCCCGAUCUCGUCUGAUCUCGGAAAGCUAAGCAUGGUCGGGCCUGGUCAGUACUUUGAUGGGAGACCGCCUGGGAAUACCAGGUGCUGUAAGUG